AGUGAACGCUGGCGGUAGGCCUAACACAUGCAAGUCGAACGGCAGCACAGUAAGAGCUUGCUCUUACGGGUGGCGAGUGGCGGACGGGUGAGGAAUACAUCGGAAUCUACUUUUUCGUGGGGGAUAACGUAGGGAAACUUACGCUAAUACCGCAUACGACCCACGGGUGAAAGCAGGGGAUCUUCUGACCUUGCGCGAUUGAAUAAGCCGAUGUCGGAUUCGCUAGUUGGCGGGGUAAAGGCCCACCAAGGCGACGAUCCGUAGCUGGUCUGAGAAGAUGAUCAGCCACACUGGAACUGAGACACGGUCCAGACUCCUACGGGAGGCAGCAGUGGGGAAUAUUGGACAAUGGGCGCAAGCCUGAUCCAGCCAUACCGCGUGGGUGAAGAAGGCCUUCGGGUUGUAAAGCCCUUUUGCUGGGAAAGAAAAGCAGCAGGUUAAUACCCCGCUGUUCUGACGGUACCCAAAGAAUAAGCACCGGCUAACUUCGUG
rnacentral:rRNA from 1 species